rnacentral:rRNA from 1 species
AUUGAACGCUGGCGGCAUGCCUUACACAUGCAAGUCGAACGGUAACAGGUCUUCGGAUGCUGACGAGUGGCGAACGGGUGAGUAAUGUAUCGGAACGUGCCCAGUCGUGGGGGAUAACGCAGCGAAAGCUGUGCUAAUACCGCAUACGAUCUAAGGAUGAAAGCGGGGGACCUGCAAGGGCCUCGCGCGAUUGGAGCGGCUGAUAUCAGAUUAGGUAGUUGGUGAGGUAAAAGCUUACCAAGCCGACGAUCUGUAGCUGGUCUGAGAGGACGAUCAGCCACACUGGGACUGAGACACGGCCCAGACUCCUACGGGAGGCAGCAGUGGGGAAUUUUGGACAAUGGGCGCAAGCCUGAUCCAGCAAUGCCGCGUGCAGGAUGAAGGCCUUCGGGUUGUAAACUGCUUUUGUACGGAACGAAAAGCCCUGGGUUAAUACCCUGGGGUCAUGACGGUACCGUAAGAAUAAGCACCGGCUAACUACGUGCCAGCCGCCGCCGUAAGAC